rnacentral:tRNA from 1 species
GGGCGUUUAGCGCAGUGGCUAGCGCACUUCCUUCACACGGAAGGGGUCACAGGUUCGAUCCCUGUAACGCCCA